AAUGUUUUGUUCAAUAUAUUUUUCCAAACAGUUUCCUCAGACUUUACAGAAGAUGAGAAGAUGGAGAUUGAGAGCAUUAAGACGUAUAAAAAAGACCUUUUGGACGAAAUCCAGAAGUUAAAGAUGGAGAUCGACAACGUGAUGGCCGAAGUACUCAGCUUUGAGUUUGCCGAGGAAAACAAGACGAUAGAGAAGAGCAAACGGUUUUCAAAUGGAAAGAAGAAAUUCAACAUGGACCCCAAAAAAGUGAGUGUGAG